GAUCAGUUGCCGCUGCUUCACAUGCAGUCGACGGUGAAGCCAAGCUUGCUUGGUGGAUCAGUGGCGAACGGGUGAGUAACACGUGAGCAACCUGCCCUGGACUCUGGGAUAAGCGCUGGAAACGGCGUCUAAUACUGGAUAUGAGCUCUCAUCGCAUGGUGGGGGUUGGAAAGAUUUUUUGGUCUGGGAUGGGCUCGCGGCCUAUCAGCUUGUUGGUGAGGUAAUGGCUCACCAAGGCGUCGACGGGUAGCCGGCCUGAGAGGGUGACCGGCCACACUGGGACUGAGACACGGCCCAGACUCCUACGGGAGGCAGCAGUGGGGAAUAUUGCACAAUGGGCGGAAGCCUGAUGCAGCAACGCCGCGUGAGGGAUGACGGCCUUCGGGUUGUAAACCUCUUUUAGCAGGGAAGAAGCGAGAGUGACGGUACCUGCAGAAAAAGCGCCGGCUAACUACGUGCCAGCAGCCGCGGUAAUACGUAGGGCGCAAGCGUUAUCCGGAAUUAUUGGGCGUAAAGAGCUCGUAGGCGGUUUGUCGCGUCUGCUGUGAAAUCCCGAGGCUCAACCUCGGGCCUGCAGUGGGUACGGGCAGACUAGAGUGCGGUAGGGGAGAUUGGAAUUCCUGGUGUAGCGGUGGAAUGCGCAGAUAUCAGGAGGAACACCGAUGGCGAAGGCAGAUCUCUGGGCCGUAACUGACGCUGAGGAGCGAAAGGGUGGGGAGCAAACAGGCUUAGAUACCCUGGUAGUCCACCCCGUAAACGUUGGGAACUAGUUGUGGGGACCAUUCCACGGUUUCCGUGACGCAGCUAACGCAUUAAGUUCCCCGCCUGGGGAGUACGGCCGCAAGGCUAAAACUCAAAGGAAUUGACGGGGACCCGCACAAGCGGCGGAGCAUGCGGAUUAAUUCGAUGCAACGCGAAGAACCUUACCAAGGCUUGACAUACACCAGAACACCGUAGAAAUACGGGACUCUUUGGACACUGGUGAACAGGUGGUGCAUGGUUGUCGUCAGCUCGUGUCGUGAGAUGUUGGGUUAAGUCCCGCAACGAGCGCAACCCUCGUUCUAUGUUGCCAGCACGUAAUGGUGGGAACUCAUGGGAUACUGCCGGGGUCAACUCGGAGGAAGGUGGGGAUGACGUCAAAUCAUCAUGCCCCUUAUGUCUUGGGCUUCACGCAUGCUACAAUGGCCGGUACAAAGGGCUGCAAUACCGUGAGGUGGAGCGAAUCCCAAAAAGCCGGUCCCAGUUCGGAUUGAGGUCUGCAACUCGACCUCAUGAAGUCGGAGUCGCUAGUAAUCGCAGAUCAGCAACGCUGCGGUGAAUACGUUCCCGGGUCUUGUACACACCGCCCGUCAAGUCAUGAAAGUCGGUAACACCUGAAGCCGGUGGCCUAACCCUUGUGGAGGAGCCGUCGAAGUGAUCGUCU
rnacentral:rRNA from 1 species